rnacentral:misc_RNA from 1 species
AAAGUGCGACAAGUAUCACGACUUGCAGAUUCCCGGGAGCUGACCAAUUUCUGAAUGCAACUUGCGGACCGACUUUCUGCCGUGUCGGCCGUGUGCUGCCGAGUGUUGUUGCCUUGUGCAUUACAUCUUUCUUUUCGUUCAGAAGAAAGGAUUCGGCGUUGGCCACACACCACACGCACCCGCGUGCUGCUGGGCGGCCAGCGCUCAGAAUUGCGCAAGCCCGGGAUCAAAGACGGAGCCUGCCUUGAAGAGAGCGCGCGUCUGGUCUAAAAAACCACGCCGCCCCUCGUCGGCAGAGCACAAACGAGUCUUUUCGCGAGAGAGUGCGACUACCACCUAACUUUUUCUGCUGACCUCUGCAGCAUAAGAAAACCCGCUGAACUUAA